rnacentral:rRNA from 1 species
UACGUAGGGUGCGAGCGUUAAUCGGAAUUACUGGGCGUAAAGCGUGCGCAGGCGGUUUUGUAAGCCAGAUGUGAAAUCCCCGGGCUUAACCUGGGAAUGGCAUUUGGGACUGCAAGGCUGGAGUUUGGCAGAGGAGAUUGGAAUUCCCGGUGUAGCAGUGAAAUGCGUAGAUAUCGGGAGGAAUACCGAUGGCGAAGGCAGGUCUCUGGGCUAUAACUGACGCUCAUGCACGAAAGCGUGGGGAGCAAACAGG